CCUACGGGUGGCAGCAGUGGGGAAUAUUGCACAAUGGGGGAAACCCUGAUGCAGCGACGCCGCGUGAAUGAAGAAGUCUUUCGGUAUGUAAACCUCUAUCAGCAGGGAAGAAAAUGACGGUACCUGACUACGACGCCCCGGCUAACUACGUGCCAGCCGCCGCGGUAAUACGUAGGGGGCAAGCGUUAUCCGGAUUUACUGGGUGUAAAGGGAGCGUAGGCGGGUUAGCAAGUCAGGAGUGAAAGCCCGGGGCUCAACUCCGGGACUGCUUUUGAAACUGUUGAACUGGAGUGCAGGAGAGGUAAGUGGAAUUCCUAGUGUAGCGGUGAAAUGCGUAGAUAUUAGGAGGAACACCAGUGGCGAAGGCGGCUUACUGGACUGUAAAUGACGCUGAGGCUCGAAAGCGUGGGGAGCAAACAGGAUUAGAUACCCGAGUAGUC
rnacentral:rRNA from 1 species